GCGCCAGUAGCUCAGAUGGAUAGAGCGGCAGCCUUCUAAGCUGUUGGUCGGGGGUUCGAAUCCCUCCUGGCGCGUCA
rnacentral:tRNA from 1 species